GCUACAAGCGCGCUGGGGAUUGAGAAAUGGGGCGGAGGACUGGGCAGGGGAGCGACGAAAGGAGUGCCAGUGACGCGUAGACCAUGAGGGCAAUGCCUCUUCUCUGCCCCAUGCUCAUGCCAUGACGUGCUGCCACAAGACAAAACUACACCUAAUGGAAGCACAUAAUGGACUGAAGCUCUGAAUUCAUGAGCCAAAAUGAAUUUUUUAUCCAUUAUUUCAGGCCCUUGGUAGAGUGAAUGAUUUCCAACUACACUGGAAAAUUCCAUCACCCUCCUGAGUCCUGGGAAUACAGAUGUGUGCCACCACGCCCGCUGAUGCCUGACUUUUUGGUGAUUUAUUGCAUCUUGUUUACCAGUGUCUUGUUGAGAAAUUUUUGUAUCUAUGUUUAUUAAAGAGAUUGGCCUGUAGUUCUCUUUUUUGGUUGAGCCCUUUUCUGGUUUGGGAAUCAGGGUAAUUCUAGCUCCCAGGAAUGAUUUUUGGGAGUACUCCUUCCCUUUCAGUUUCAUUAAAGAGUUUGAGAAGCA